rnacentral:rRNA from 1 species
AGAAAUCGGAGCUAAUACCGGAUACGACACCUCCUGGCAUCAGGUGGGUGUGGAAAGAAUUUCGGUUGGGGAUGAGCUCGCGGCCUAUCAGCUUGUUGGUGAGGUAAUGGCUCACCAAGGCGACGACGGGUAGCCGGCCUGAGAGGGUGACCGGCCACACUGGGACUGAGACACGGCCCAGACUCCUACGGGAGGCAGCAGUGGGGAAUAUUGCACAAUGGGCGCAAGCCUGAUGCAGCAACGCCGCGUGGGGGACGACGGCCUUCGGGUUGUAAACCUCUUUUGGCAGGGAAGAAGCGAAAGUGACGGUACCUGCAGAAAAAGCACCGGCUAACUACGUGCCAGCAGCCGCGGUAAUACGUAGGGUGCAAGCGUUGUCCGGAAUUAUUGGGCGUAAAGAGCUCGUAGGCGGUGUGUCACGUCUGCUGUGAAAAUCCAAGGCUCAACCUUGGACUUGCAGUGGGUACGGGCACACUCGAGUGCGGUAGGGGAGAUUGGAAUUCCUGGUGUAGCGGUGGAAUGCGCAGAUAUCAGGAGGAACACCGAUGGCGAAGGCAGAUCUCUGGGCCGUAACUGACGCUGAGGAGCGAAAGCGUGGGGAGCGAACAGGAUUAGAUACCCUGGUAGUCCACGCCGUAAACGGUGGGAACUAGAUGUGGGGUCCGUUCCACGGAUUCCGUGUCGCAGCUAACGCAUUAAGUUCCCCGCCUGGGGAGUACGGCCGCAAGGCUAAAACUCAAAGGAAU